rnacentral:rRNA from 1 species
CAUGCAAGUCGAGCGAGAACUUACUAUUGACACUUCGGUUGAUUUAGUAGGCGGAAAGCGGCGGACGGGUGAGUAACGCGUAGGCAACCUGCCCAUAACUAAGGGAUAGCCUCGGGAAACCGGGAUUAAUACCUCAUAAUGCCAAGAAUAUACCUAUAUACUUGGUCAAAGAUUUAUCGGUUAUGGAUGGGCCUGCGUCUGAUUAGUUAGUUGGUGAGGUAACGGCUCACCAAGGCGACGAUCAGUAACCGACCUGAGAGGGUAAUCGGUCACAUUGGAACUGAGACACGGUCCAGACUCCUACGGGAGGCAGCAGUGGGGAAUAUUGCACAAUGGGCGAAAGGCCUGAUGCAGCAACGCCGCGUGAAUGACGAAGGUUCUAUGAAUCGUAAAGUUCUGUGCUGAGGGAAGAAAAAAAUGACGGUACCUCAGGAGCAAGCCCCGGCUAACUACGUGCCAGCAGCCGCGGUAAUACGUAGGGGGCAAGCGUUAUCCGGAAUUAUUGGGCGUAAAGGGUGCGUAGGUGGUUUUGUAAGCGUGGGGUCAAAGGCAAUAGCUCAACUAUUGUACGCCCUGCGAACUGCAGAACUUGAGUGCAGGAGAGGAAAGCGGAAUUCCUAGUGUAGCGGUGAAAUGCGUAGAUAUUAGGAGGAACACCAGUGGCGAAGGCGGCUUUCUGGACUGUAACUGACACUGAGGCACGAAAGCGUGGGGAGCGAACGGGAUUAGAUACCCUGGUAGUCCACGCCGUAAACGAUGAGCACUAGGUGUCGGGGUCGUAAGGCUUCGGUGCCGCAGUUAACGCAAUAAGUGCUCCGCCUGGGGAGUACGCACGCAAGUGUGAAACUCAAAGGAAUUGACGGGGACCCGCACAAGCAGCGGAGCAUGUGGUUUAAUUCGAAGCAACGCGAAGAACCUUACCAGGGCUUGACAUCCUUCUGACCGGUUGGUAAAGCAACCUUCUCUUCGGAGCAGAAGUGACAGGUGGUGCAUGGUUGUCGUCAGCUCGUGUCGUGAGAUGUUGGGUUAAGUCCCGCAACGAGCGCAACCCUUGUCAUUAGUUGCCAUCAAGUUAAGUUGGGCACUCUAGUGAGACUGCCGGGGAUAACUCGGAGGAAGGUGGGGAUGACGUCAAAUCAUCAUGCCCCUUAUGUUCUGGGCUACACACGUGCUACAAUGGCUGGUACAAAAGGAAGCAAUACUGUGAAGUGGAGCCAAUCAAGAAAACCAGUCUCAGUUCGGAUUGUAGGCUGCAACCCGCCUACAUGAAGUCGGAGUUGCUAGUAAUCGUGAAUCAGAAUGUCACGGUGAAUGCGUUCCCGGGUCUUGUACACACCGCCCGUCACACCAUGGAAGUUGGGGGCGCCCNGAAGUUGGCCCAAUAAAUAGGUUACCUAAGGCGAAAUAAA